rnacentral:snoRNA from 7 species
ACCCUGCGGUUUCCCUUUCCCAUCAGAUCUUGACACUGGUCUUGGUGGUCAUAAAGGUGGAAAAGCAGCCUGAAGCUGGUCACACAGCAAUGCAGUUUGCUGUAGAGCAACAGUCCAGACUCAGACAUGC